rnacentral:rRNA from 1 species
AUCGAACGCUGGCGGCAGGCCUAACACAUGCAAGUCGAACGAGUGGCGGACGGGUGAGUAAUGUCUGGGAAACUGCCUGAUGGAGGGGGAUAACUACUGGAAACGGUAGCUAAUACCGCAUACCAUCAGAUGUGCCCAGAUGGGAUUGGCUAGUUGGGGGGGGAUCGGCUCACAAAGGCGACGAUCCCUCGCUGGGCUGAGAGGAUGACCGCCCACACUGGAACUGAAAAACGGCCCGGACUCCUACGGGAGGCAGCAGUGGGGAAUAUUGGACAAUGGGCGAAGGCCUGAGGCAGCCAGGCCGGGUGUAUGAAGAAGGCCUUCGGGUUGUAAAGUACGUUAAGCGGGGAGGCGUUACCCGCAGAAGAAGCACCGGCUAACUCCGUGCCAGCAGCCGCGGUAAUAC